rnacentral:rRNA from 1 species
AGUGAACGCUGGCGGUAGGCCUAACACAUGCAAGUCGAACGGCAGCACAGUAAGAGCUUGCUCUUACGGGUGGCGAGUGGCGGACGGGUGAGGAAUACAUCGGAAUCUACUUUUUCGUGGGGGAUAACGUAGGGAAACUUACGCUAAUACCGCAUACGACCUACGGGUGAAAGCAGGGGAUCUUCGUACCUUGCGCUAUUGAAUGAGCCGAUGUCGGAUUAGCUAGUUGGCGGGGUAAAGGCCAACCAAGGCGACGAUCCGUAGCUGGUCUGAGUGGAUGAUCAGCCACACUGGAACUGAGACACGGUCCAGACUCCUACGGGAGGCAGCAGUGGGGAAUAUUGGACAAUGGGCGCAAGCCUGAUCCAGCCAUACCGCGUCGGUGAAGAAGGCCUUCGGGUUGUAAAGCCCUUUUGUUGGGAAAGAAAAGCAGCAGGUUAAUACCCCGCUGUUCUGACGGUACCCAAAGAAUAAGCACCGGCGAACUUCGUG